ACUUCGUCGAGGACUGGGUCAGGAUCGGCUUCCCGGCCAAGAAGAAGGUGCAGACUGAGUGCGCCUCCAUGCCUUUCGAUGACCAGUGCACCGUCCUCGAAAAGGUUCGCACCAUUGCCCAUCUGCCAUCUCAUACUUUGCUCAUAUAUUACUCCUAUUGGCAGUACUGUAGACUUCGCAAUUCUGCAUGUGGUUUGUCUAACUGAUGAUUGGUACGCUGACCAAGGGAUAUUUCUGAAUUGUUUCCACAGGAGGCAGUGAACGUGUCCCUCCAGAACCUCCUGACCUACCCGUUCGUCAAGGAGGGUGUGUCCAACGGAACCCUCAAGCUGGUCGGCGGUCACUACGACUUCGUCUCCGGCAAGUUCGAGACAUGGGAGCAGUGAAUCUUCCCCAGCGGUUAACUCCUAUAUAUACAUGCGAAUGCAAACGCGUACAUAUAUCAAGAUAUCGUCCGACCGACCGAUGUGAAUCCAAUGCCAUGGAGUGCGUACUCGUUGUUUUCCAGUACUGGAUGCCGGGAUGGCCCGAUGUGAAUUCGCCAUAAGCAAUAGAACCCUUUUUCUUUUACCAUUUUCUGACGAGGAAUUGUACUACCCGUGUGAUGCAUAAUUUGAUCGUCCUGUGAUCAAAAGACAUCAUAUAUAAGUUUAAUAAUAUUUUCAUGAACAGUUUACCCCUUUUAUUACCCUUUGUCCUUGUGGUUUUCCGUCUUGUGUCUGGCACUGCUUAGCUGUUUGCCCAACCCAAGAAACAGUUUGUACUACUGUAUAUCU
rnacentral:lncRNA from 1 species